AGUGAACGCUGGCGGUAGGCCUAACACAUGCAAGUCGAACGGCAGCACAGUAAGAGCUUGCUCUUACGGGUGGCGAGUGGCGGACGGGUGAGGAAUACAUCGGAAUCUACUUUUUCGUGGGGGAUAACGUAGGGAAACUUACGCUAAUACCGCAUACGACCUACGGGUGGAAGCAGGGGAUCUUCGGACCUUGCGCGAUUGAAGGAGCCGAUGUCGGAUUAGCUAGUUGGCGGGGUAAAGGCCCACCAAGGCGACGAUCCGUAGCUGGUCUGAGAGGAUGAUCAGCCACACUGGAACUGAGACACGGUCCAGACUCCUACGGGAGGCAGCAGUGGGGAAUAUUGGACAAUGGGCGCAAGCCUGAUCCAGCCAUACCGCGUGGGUGAAGAAGGCCUUCGGGUUGUAAAGCCCUUUUGUUGGGAAAGAAAAGCAGCAGGUUAAUACCCCGCUGUUCUGACGUUACCCAAAGAAUAAGCACCGGCUAACUUCGUG
rnacentral:rRNA from 1 species